GAAUAUUUAAGCAGUGUUGUCAUGACAUACACCAACACAAGUCACCACUGGAGGACCAACAGGGUUGGGACUCUGGGGCUUGGAGAGUUUGCACCUAGCCUGGCAAGGCUGCUCUGGAGGCAAGGUCCAUCUGCAGCCCUGGAUCUUCCCUAGAUGACAAAGUGUUUGCUGAGUGUUCUUGUGUGUUGUCUGUGGCUCUCCUUGCUGGUCAAAGCCACAUGAAAAUGCUGGGCCACAUCUGCUUAGGGAAACCUCAUCUAAGGAAAACAGAAGUUCUCUGCAGGAUGCAGCCUCCAGCUUCCCACUUGGUCACCUAAAAGCAAAAUUGACCUUUGACCCUUGACAAUGAAGUGAGUGUUGCUGGAGGUACCUGGGACAGGCAGAAGGAGGCAGGAUCCAAUGCUGUGGCCUCCCUGUGUAGGUCUUCUUCUCUUGCAGAGCAUCGAUGGAACUAUUGUGACAGGUGAUUCCAGGUUGUAUCAAAUUGACAAACCACAAGUGACAAGCCUUUACCAACUGAGCCACCCCUGCCUGUUUCUACUUUUUGACUGUUGGGUUCAUGGUGUGAAAUGAUAUUGUGGAUCAAGUAGAUGAUUUUUUAUUUUAAAUUAAGAGAUAUAUCAGUUACUCUUCUGUGACUGUGAUAACACCAUGAGCAACUUAUAAAAUGAAGAGCAACUUAUAAGAUGGCUUACAGUUCCAGAGGAAUAAGAGAUGUGGCAGAAAACAGCAGGUAGAGCAUCAACACAUACAAACUGCAUCUCAGCUCCCAAUUGAGGACAGUCCCCAGGGUCACAAAGCCAUGGCCAAGGAGAACAUUUAGUCUCUGACUCUUCUGGCACCAGCCAGAAGAUCCAACUGUCCCCAUGGAGCACAUGGCCUUCCUAAAGAACUCUCCUUGGAAUGGAAGGGAGUACCAGCUAUUAACCCCCAAACUGGACAGAGGUGUAACCCAAAUAACCAAUGGAGGAUCCAGAAGACCCACCAGUGCUAUGCCACCAUGGAGAGAGGCUAUCUUUAGUGUUACACUAAGGAUGUAGCACAGGGGUAGAACUUGCCUAUGGGAGGUGUUGGCUUCAGCAACCAAGACUACACAAAAAGUCUUCAGCAGAUCAGACUCCUGUAAGAUUCAUGCAGACACCAGAGGAAAGAGUAUACUCGAAGGUCUAUCAUCCUCCUGUCUCUGGAAAGCUGUGGGGUGAGGAUGCACAGCUCAGCUUGUUUUCAUGUUUGCUUCCGGCUGUAUAGCCUUUCACUGCUGGCCUUUUGCACCACCAGAAAGUGACAACCUUGACGAACUGCUUCCUCAGCAUCCUUGAAGAGCGGAUGAAGGACUCUGGCUCUCAGGCAGCUUGAGUUUGAGACCCCACCACCUUCCUAAGACCCUUGAGAGUGAGUGUGAAGACCACUGUGGAGUCUUACUCACAGAUGACAAAAGGCACCUAAAUGCAUAGAGUGGCCGCUCUCUGUUCAGGGCUGGCACAGGCAUGACAGUUAGCCUCUAGAGUGACCCCAAGAGAAGUCUUGAACACCUGCACAUCCCUGAAAUGUAUACACUUUGUAAUCAGGGGUCUAUUGUGGCUUUCUAGGCUCCAUUUUCUUCCUUUUCUAAUAGUAAGCAGAACAAUACCUUAUCUUUAAAAAGACUUUGAUUGAUUCAGUAUACAUGGAGAUAGCUUUAGCCUAUUGGCUUUUCUGUGCCAGACCUACAAGAAGAAUCUAUAUAUUAUUAACCCAUUUUAUAGAUAAAGGAGCUGUGGCACAGAUAUAUUAAUUUACUUGUACAAGAUCACGCAGCGAGGGAGACGGACAGAACCCAAGCUAGUUCCUUUGAGCCUCUGACCCUUGUAUCCUCUUUGCAAGUUUCUUCUACCUAAUCGAGAAUUGAACGUAAUCUUAAUUAAAGUUCCAAAGGACUAAA